CCAGCUGCAGUGUGAGCCGAGGCUCCAGGAUCCAAGGUGCCAAAGAGCCACCACAUCCCAGGCCACGGGACCGGAGCAUUAAAUUGGAAAUACCACUUCAUCUGUAAAACAUUUGCCUCUCCCCCACGUUACGUUAUAUAUUUGUUUCAGAGAGGUAUUGAAGUAAAUAUUUACGCAAUCAAAAUGGCCACGUGCGCAAACAUACUCCCGUGUGGGGUCGUCUCGAGGAUGUUCCGACCACGUAAAUUUUGGGCUCGUUAUCUCCGAGACUACAGCACUGGCAUUGUCCGAACCUAAAUUUUUAAACGUGGCCAUCACGUGGCUGAAGUUCAAAACUUCAUCUUGAAAUUCAAGCAGAGGUUUAGUGGGGGCUGAACGACUGCCCGUGAGGCCUCAGGAGCCGCCGGCUCACCUGCCCACACAGCUCGGCCUCCGCCAAACCUUCCACCAACACCCAAAAACCAAAACAGCUCUGCAGGGGAUCCCAUCCCACUGCCACCCUCCAGCCCCAGGGGCGGUGGAGCUGUGGGGAAAGAGUGUAGUGGUGUCUGAAAUCUGGCUCUGUCACCACUGACCUUUAGCAGGAGAGAAACUUUCCCUCAGAUGAGAGAAGCUUUCCCUGAGGCGUCGAGAGAGAUGCUUUCCCUCAGAUGUCCACUGUAAUCCUCGUAGAUUCCCACGGAAGGAUGAGACAUGGAUCACUACAGGGAAAAGCAAUGCUGUAUCUGCCCAGAAAAUACAUAUCAAGAGAUCCACGUCCAUGUUCUGGGGACACAACCAAGAACACGUGCAAGACUUUUAUACCAGGGUAAAAUGCACAAGCAGCAACAGGCUUGAAAAGAAUUGAUGGGCAGAAGGAGAUCCUUGGGAGAGGUGUUUGUGCUCCCACUCUGGAGCAGGAAGCAUGGCCAGGUUGGUAGCUCACGGGGCCUCGGUGUCAGAAGGUCAGAUCACACAUUAGGAUUUGGGCUCAUCCCAAAUGUUGACACAGUAUUGAAGGGGGAAGGGAAAGGGAAAGGCAUGUGACAGUAAAGGACGUUGUAUUCAGCAGUAAAUGUUGAUUGGAAAUAUCCAUCAUUGGACCUGGGAGAGGAAAGGCCUCUAUAGAAUCAACACAAAGGUUCUUCUUCUUCUGUUCCUAAAUAUUGAAUUAGGCUGGUAACAAGCACCAGAUCUGGUGAAGAAGGCUCUACUUACUAACACUAAACAUCCUUUAAUAAUAAUUUAAUUUUAAUUAAAUGUGAUUGAAUAUAUAUUCCCAUCUGACAAAAAGAGAAUCCCAUCAUGCAUUAGGCUAAUAUUUAGUGAGUGCCCCUUGGCUCAGCAUGCUGGCCUGAAAAAUACUGUGCUGUGACAGUUCAGGUAAAGCCAGAGGAUCAUUGUGGAAUGCUUAGAUAUCCUAAACCUGCAUUUCAUCUUCUCUUUUUAUUACAUCUCAACCUGGCCUGGUUGACCCUUUCCCAGCUUUUAACCUUUCAGGUCUGAUCUGCAGCUGCUGGAUGCAACAGGAAAUGAACAGUAACAACUGGCAAAAGCAACACUUCUGUGAGUGUGCAGCACAGCCUCAGUUUGCCUGCUACUGCUGGCCUUUUCCAAACACAGUCAUCAUGUUUUCACUCAAUAAUGUAAUCAUUGUGAUACUAACCUUCACUAGCAAAAAUUCAGAAAGUCUGCUUUCAUUUAAUUUGAAUUUCCCAGAUUUCUCACCAAUUCCCUACCAAUAAUUUUAGUUAAAAUAAUAAACUAAAGCAAUAAUGCAGCCCACAAGAAGCAUCUUGCCAGAAAUGUGUAUGCACCUGUUUCUAAUACAGAUCUUGAUUAUAGGUUUUUCAUACACUUGUGCAUCUCGUAUCUCAGUUCAAGUCCAUCUGUUAAAUAACAGCAUUUGGAAAGAAAAUAGUGCUGCCUUCUCAGAAGGAUUCACACUGUAAUCUCCUGGAUUUAUUAAUAUUAAAAUUCUUACAAUAAUUCAGCUUGGAAGGGACAUAUGGGAUCAUCUCAUGACCUGGUACAACUCACAGCCCAGUGCAGCACCAAAUUUGAAGUUGGCUUUAAUUUCAAGGUCAGAUAAAUUGCCCAGGGCCUUGUGUCCCCCUUAGCCUUGAGUAUCCCCAAAACUGGAGACUUCACAGUCUCUCAAAGCAACUUGGUUCAUUACUGAUAAUGAUCACUUUGGAAAAAACUUCCCUUAUAUUGGCAUAAAAUAUUCUGAAA